rnacentral:lncRNA from 1 species
ACAGGCCCUCUCUCAAGGUCACCACCUCCACUCCCGUUGUAUGCUGGGAUUGUAGUCCGGCCGCCCUGUGACUAACGGCUGGAACCGCCUAAGACACCACCCCAGCCAGCAUGGCCGGCAGGAGCGCACCGCGCUGUCUCCCUCCAGGGAUCCGCACCGCCCUACAAUCCUGCUUUGUGCUGAGAUUGUAGUCCUGCAGGCGUACAACUAACAAGCUGGGUGCAGAUAAGAGACUACAGCUCCCCGCAUCCCAAGCAAAGGUCCCUCCUCUACGGAGCCCCUCCACGCGUCCACUGCGGUUCCGCCGUGCCAAGGGGAGCUUGGCUGUUCACGGGCCUCACCUGCUAGCGAGAAGAUAGCUUGGCCGGGCGGCUGAUCUCACCUUGUAAUUCUGACACUGUGUCUCCCGGGCUUGUCGGCUUCAUGACUUGUGCCCAAAGUUUGAUUUCUCGCAGACCAGGAGGACCCAUUGGACCCCCGGGCUGGCUGCAGGGCCCACACCUGGGUUAGACCUCGCACAGGGACGCUGCUGCCACUGUAAUAAAGCGUGCCUACACGCUUCUGAAACUGGUGUAGGAACAACCUCAGUUCUGUGAAAGGCGGACGCAGCAGGACAGAAUCUCCGUGGACAUCUGUCUGGAGGAGCAAUUUUACUGCGACAUUUUAAAGAAACAAAUUUAAUUGAUUUCCAAGGGUGUCCAUCGCGCUUCCUUCACUGCCUUGAUCAUGUCGGGGUCACCACCUGCGGGGGUUUGUCCUGCAGACCCUGACUCAACGACGGAUGAAUAAUGUACACUGACACAGAUCUUAUGCUUGUCAGUCCUGCUGAGCAUCCAGGCCACUUACAGACUCCAAGAAGAGUCCUGUCAGCCACGGCUCUGACUUGUUGGCCCUCCCGGCAUUUAUUUAGCACACAUUUAAUGACAGAAGUCUCAGGCUGGAAACACUCUUUUUGUAGAACAUACAAAUGGACAUUUCUAAGCACAUUGAGGCCUAUAAUGAAAAAUCAAAUAUCCCACAAUGAAAACUAGAAGGAAGCUAUCUGUGAUAAUGCUUUGUGGUGUAUGGAUUCAUCUCACUGACUGAAACCUGAGUUUUGAUUCACCAGGUUGGAAACACUUUUACUGUAUUAUCUAUGAAGAAACGUUUUUGAGGCCAUUAAGUCCUACACUGAAAAACUGAAUAUACUGCAUUAAACAUUCUAAAGAAGCUAACUGUGAAAAUGCUUUGCAAUGUGUGUAUUUAUCUCACAGAGUUAAACCAUUGUUUUGAUUCAUCAGUUUGGAAACAGUUUCUUUGUAGAAUCUAUGAAGGGACCUUUCAGAGGCCAUUGAGGCCUAUAAUAAAGAAACAAAUAUCCCACAAUAAAACAAGAAACAUAUAGAAACAAGCUGUAUGUGAAAAUGCUUUGUGAUAUCUGGAUUCUUCUCACUGAAUCAAACCUGGGUUUUGAGUCACCAGGUUGGAAACACUUUUUUUGUAAAAUCUAGGAAGGGAAAUUUCUGAGCCCAUUGAGGCACAUAGUGAAAAACCGAGGAUCCUGUGAUAAAAACUAGAAAAACGCAAUAUGUGAAGUUGCUUUGUGAUGUGUGGAUUCGUCUCCCCGAAUGGAAUCUCUGUUUUGAUUCACCAGGUUGGAAACAAUGUUUUUGUAGAAUGUACAAUGAGACAUUUCUGAGUCCAUUUAGGCCUAUACUGAGAAACCCAAUAUCCUGCUAUAAGAAGUAGAAAAAUGCUAUCUGUAAAAAUGCUUUGUGAUGCAUGGAUUCAUCUCACAGAGUUAAAGCUUUGUUUGGAUUCAACAGGUGAAAAACCCUUUUUUACAGAAUCUACAAAAAACAUCUCUGAUCCCAUUGAAGUUUAUAGUGAAAAACAGAAUAUCCUGUGAUAAAAAGUAGAAACAAGCUAUCCGUUGAAAUGCUUUGCAAGGUCUGAAUUCAUCUGACAGAGUUAAACCUCUCUUUUAAUUCAUCAAUUUGGAAACACGCUUUUCUUAGAAUCUAUGAAGAAACAUUUCUGACCCAAUUGAAACCUAUACUGAAAAAUAGAAUAUCCCAAAAUAAAACCAGAGAAAAGUUAUCUCUGAAAAUGGAUUGUAAUAUGUGGAUUCAUCUAACAGAGUUAAACCUUUGUUUUGAUUCAACAGGUUGGAAACACUCUUGUUGUAGAAUCUAUGAAGGGAGAUUUCUGGGAGCAUUGAUGCUUAUAAUAAAAUACAGAGUAUCCCGCAAUGAAAAGUACAAACAACCUAUCUGUGCAAAUGCUUUGCCAUGUGGGAAUUCCUCUUACAAAGUUACACAUUUGUUUUGAUUCAAUAGGUUGAAACACUCUUUUUGUAGCAUCUACUAAGGAACAUUUCAGAGCUCACUGAGGCCUAUAAUGAAAAACUGAAUAUUCCAUGUUAAAAAGUAGAAACAAGCUAUAAGUUAAAAUGCUUUGGGUUUUCUGGAUUUACAUCACAGAUUUAAACUUUUGUUUUGAUUCAUCACCUUGGAAACUUGCUUUUUGUAGAAUCUAUGAAGGAACAUUUCUGAGCUCAUUGAGGCCUAUAGUGAAAAACGGAAUAUCCAGUGAUAAAAACCAGAAGCAAGCUAUCUGUGGAAAUGCUUUGUGAUGUUUGGAUUCAUCUCACAGAGUUAAAUCUUUGUUUUAAUUAAACGGGUUGGAAACACUCUUUUUGUAGAAUCAAUGAAAAGACAUUUCUGAGCCCACUCAGGCCUAUGUUGAAAAAUCGAAUAUCCCACAAUAAAAACUAGAAACAAGGCAAGUAUAAAAAUGCUUUGUGGUGUCUGGAUUCAUCUUAGAAAGUUAAACCUUUGCUUUAAUUAAAUAGGUUGGAAACACUGUUGUUGUAGAAUCUACGAAGGGACAUUUCUGAGGCCUUCGACUCCUAUUGUUACACACUGAAUAGCCCAUGAUAAAAACUAGAAACAAGCUUGCUCUGAAAGUGCUUUGUAAUGCGUGGACUUAUCUCACUGAAUGAAACCCUUUGUUUGAUUCACUAGGUUAAAAACACUGUUGUUGUAGAAUCUAUGAAGGGACAUUUAUGAGUCAAUUGAGACCUACAGUAAGAAACCAAAUAUUUCGUGAUAAAAAUUAGAAGCAAGCUAUUUGAAAAAAUGCUUUGCAAUGUGUACAUUCAUCUCACCAAAUAUAACUUGUGUUUUGAAUCACCUGAUUGGAAAUACUCUUUUUGUAAAAUCUCCAAAGGGACAUUUCUGAGCCCAUUGAGGCCUAUAAUAUAAAACAGACUAUCUUGUGAUAAAAACUAGAAAGAAGCUAUCUGUGAAAAAUGCUUGUGAUAUGUUGAUUCAUCUCAGAGUUAAAUUAUUAUUUUGAUUGAACAGCUUGGAAACACUCUCCUUGUAGAAUCUAGAAAUUGUAAUUUCUGAGCUCAUUGAGACCUAUAGUGAAAAACCAAAUAUCCCGCAAUAAAAACCAGAAACAAGGCAUCUAUGAAAAUUCUUUGUGAUAUGUGCAUUCAUCUCACAGUGCAAAACUUUUUCUUUGAUUCAACAGGUUGGAAACUCUGUUUUUGUAAAAUUAAUGAAGGCACAUUUCUGAGCCCUUUGAAACCUAUAGUGAAAAACUGAAUAUCCCACCUUAAAAAUGAGAAACACGCUAUUAGUAAAAAUGUUUUGCAAUGUGUGGAUUCAUGUUGUGGGAAGUCAGGGACCCCAAAUGGAGGGACUGGCUGAAGCCAUGGCAGAAGAAUGUGGAUUGUGAAGAUUUCAUGGACAUUUAUUAGUUCACCAAAUUAAUACUUUUAUAAUUUCUUAUGCGUGUCUUUACUGCAAUCUCUAAACAUAAAUUGUGAAGAUUUCAUGGACGC